CGCAUUUGAAAUGGUGCUGGGAAAGCGGUGAAUUGGAAGUAACGGAUCCCGCUGCCUCUCUGAGGAAGAGAAAAAUCCCAUGACCGGAUUUGAGGAAACAAACGGAAGUCUAAGUGCACCCACUUCCGGAGUGGGCACCGCUCCUCAGUAAAUUCUACAGCUGGAAGGAAGUUUCUAGAGGCACCUUAGCACUGACUUCAGUACCCAUCACUCCACAACUCAAGGAUGGAAACCUUGAACGUCUGAAUUUGCUGACCUGCUUGUGAUGAGACAUCCGUUGUGGACUCUUCUUUUUUGCCCUUUGCUGGAUGGUAGGUGGAGGGCAGUUAUCAGAGCUGCAGAGAAGGAAAUAACCUGUCUGGCAUCAGACACUGAUCCUGUUACCAUCUAAUCCACACAGGGACUUGGAUAACAAAUACUUGGAUAAUGAAAACAUCCAAUAAUUAAUGUGCCACCUACUCACCAGGAUCAUGGCCCAACAGGGAAAUGUGGAACAAAGCUCUCCUCAAGGGGAAAGAAAACGGGAUACACGGCUUGGAAAACCUUCACUAACACUCCCAUGUGAAGAGUGAUAGAAUGCUAAUUUCCCACAGAUUCAUUAUCACCAUGAAAUGAAAUUUUGGAACACAUCACAGAAUGUGCUUGCCUGUGAUUUCAAGAAAUCUACUUCUCAGCAGUUGAGGUUGGACUCAGAUUUUUUUAUGUACUAGAAACCAAUUCUCCUGUAAUGAAAUUCAUUUGUCUCUGAAAUCAACUUUGCCAUGUACUAUACCAUAUUGUAAGUAUGAGUGGAUGGCACUACUAUGACAGAGUAGGGGGCAGCAUGGUUUUGGACAUUUGGGGUCUUGUAUCUCUCAAUUUAUAGCCUAUAUUCAUAAGACAGCAGAAUAACAACAACCAACACUUACCAAGUGCCCGAAAUAUCUUAACUCAUUUAAGUUAUUCAACAAAGAUAGGAGAACUAAUGGGGUAAGAGACAUGGGCACUUUAAUAGACAGCCAUUACUGCAAUAAUGCUGUGUAACGAACUACCCCCAAAAUCAAUGUCUUACAAUAACAAGCAUUUAAUUUUGUUUUGCUCAUAAAUCUACAUUUGGCUAAGGUUCUGUUGUGCUUGGCUAGUACCAGCUGAACUUGAAUCAACCCUACAUGUUGGAUCCAAAUUUAUUCCACAUUUCUCUCAUUCCCAUUUGAACUAACAGCUAUCUGCAGCAUGCUCAUCUCAUGUGAACAGCAGGAAUGUAAGAGGCAAAUCAAACUGUGCAAGUACAUUUAAGGCCUCCAUUAACAUUUCAUUGGCCAAAGCAAGCAUGUCAGAAAACAAGUUUUAUAUCAACAAGGCAGAAAAAAUGUGUUUCACUUAUACUGAGAGAGAAUCAUAAAAUUGCUUGUAUUCUAGCCUAGGAGAGAGAAGAAUUGGAACCAAUGAAUAUGAUCUAUCAUAGAUACCUUUGGAGAAUGGAUAAGGGACAAAUUUCAGUUUUCAUGUGGAGACCAAAGCCAUUUUUUUUUUUUUUUUUUUGUUAACACUGUGUCUGAAGUCUUAGGGGGCUAAAAGUCCCAUAAAAGGCCUUUUAAAUUUGAGAGAUAUUUACAUUAAGAGAUUCAGUUAGGACCUAAAGAAGAGUCAAACAUUUGAUGAAACACAUCUGCUUAUCACUGGUUAUAAUCUACUGGGGAAGAAAAUAAGGCAUUUAUACAAACAAUUCCAUAGCAAGAUGUAAGAUAAAAAGUGUCCUUCAAAGACCAAUUGUAAGUAAAAGGGUAGAGAAAACUA